GAUGAACGCUGGCGGCGUGCCUAAUACAUGCAAGUCGAGCGAAAAGACGAGGAGCUUGCUCCUCUGACGUUAGCGGCGGACGGGUGAGUAACACGUGGAUAACCUACCUAUAAGACUGGGAUAACUUCGGAGAACCGGAGCUAAUACCGGAUAAUAUAUUGAACCGCAUGGUUCAAUAGUGAAAGACGGUUUUGCUGUCACUUAUAGAUGGUUCCGCGCCGCAUUAGCUAGUUGGUAAGGUAACGGCUUACCAAGGCGACGAUGCGUAGCCGAUCUGAGAGGAUGAUCGGCCACACUGGAACUGAGACACGGUCCAGACUCCUACGGGAGGCAGCAGUAGGGAAUAUUGCGCAAUGGGCGAAAGCCUGACGGAGCCACGCCGCGUGAGUGAUGAAGGUCUUCGGAUCGUAAAACUCUGUUAUUAGGGAAGAAAAAAUGUGGAAGAAACCAUGCCUGUUUUGACGGUACCCAAAGAGAAAGCAACGGCUAACUACGUG
rnacentral:rRNA from 1 species